AUUGAACGCUGGCGGAAUGCUUUACACAUGCAAGUCGAACGGCAGCACGGACUUCGGUCUGGUGGCGAGUGGCGAACGGAUGAGUAAUGUAUCGGAACGUGCCCAGUCGUGGGGGAUAACGUAGUGAAAAUUACGCUAAUACCGCAUACGAUCUAUGGAUGAAAGCGGGGGAUCGCAAGACCUCGCGCGAUUGGAGUGGCCGAUAUCAGAUUAGGUAGUUGGGGGGGUAAAGGCCCACCAAGCCAACGAUCUGUAGCUGGUCUGAGAGGACGACCAGCCACACGGGAACUGAGACACGGUACAGACUCCUACGGGAGGCCGCAGUGGGGAAUUUUGGACAAUGGGCGAAAGCCUUAUCCAGCCAUUCCGCGUGCAGGAUGAAGGCCCUCGGGUUGUAAACUGCUUUUGUACAGAACGAAAAGGUUUCUACUAAUACUAGGAGCUCAUGACGGUACUGUAAGAAUAAGCACCGGCUAACUACGUGCCAGCCGCCGCAGUAA
rnacentral:rRNA from 1 species